AACACGCAUACACUGUCUCUCUCUCUCUCUUCCUCAGCCGCACGCCCAAUUCUCUCUUCUUUCUCCCUUCCACUUCUCUUUGCCAUCGCCGGGGACCACUAUUUCCGGCAACCAGUUCAUGACACCACCACCACCAAUCAAUUCAGGACCCAAUUCUGAUCAAAACCCAAGGAGAUCACUGUCAUCCACCACCGCCAACCUUUUCACGGGACCAUCAAAGUCGCAACGGCGCUGCUCCCUAGCUCUCAUUGAGUUCCAGCCGUUUCCUCAACACACCUCCGCCAUCAGCGUGCUCAGAGGAAGUUAGACAUCAAAAUCUAGAAGCCUCGCCGGCGACCCACUCUCAGAGAACCACGCACGCACCAUAACCGGAACUCUAGACUCUGGGUUUCUGCAGUCUUCCUUCUCCAAAUCGAAUCAAGCUCCAAUACCUACAUGAUUUGAAAUUGAAAUUGAAGAGCAAGAAAGAGGUGCUACUCUGAAAUUGAACAGAUGAAGGUUUCUGGUUAGACUAACCUUUGUGUUUUAUGUGAUACAAGGGAUUGCGAUGUUUCGAUGGAGAGAGAAUUAAGAGCGUUUGGUUUCGAUAAUAUCGAAUCUGUGGUCUUGGUGGGUUUCGGGAGAGUGAGGAUUGCAGAUUCUGGAGCACCAUAUCAGGAUUGUUCUCCCUGGUUUGAAGGCUGAGUUGAAUUCUCAGAUGAAUGCUAUUUAUAAAGAACUACAAACAUAUGGAAAAGUUAUGGAAUCCAAAACAGAUCUGGGAGCAACUUUGUUGAACAUUUUGUCAAAAUACUGUGAAGCUUUUACUGCCAUGUUGGAUGGAAAAAAUCCGAAGAUGUCAACUAAAGAAUUGUCAGGAGGAGCCAGGAUCCAGUACAUUUUCCAGUCAAUUUUUGUAAAGAGCUUGCAGACUUAGUUGAGUCUCCACCGCCAAGCCCUGCUGCCAACUUUCAGGAGGCCUCUUUCAAUUACUGAACUACUUCAUUUAUCUGAGGAGUGGCCUCUUUCAUUCAACCCCCAUGUUGGAUCGUAAAAAACGGAACAACAACUGGGAAUCAUUUACUUCUCUUCCAGUUGAGGAGAUAACCAGAGUAUGAUGCGAAAGGUGCCUUUUUGGCUUUCAAUUUUUACAGUUUAUUGGGAUAUUAUGAUCUCUUUUUCCUGUGCAUAACUAUUGAAAUAUAAAAUUAGUCACUGGGAAAGAUUUUGAUUCAUUGAUUUGCAGAAGUACCACCAUCGAAGAAGAUGAUGAAUUUCUGGAUUUUAGGUGUCAGUAUGAAAAGCAAUGAGAUAAAAAAGUGUUUGCAUUUCAAUUUGUCUUGAACUUUCUAUCUCUCGUAUCAGGUCCUUUAUUUUUUAUUUUUGUUUUGGUGGCAAAUUUCUUUAUGCUUCUUUGCAAAUGCCAGGUUUAUUAAGAAGAUUCUGUAUAACUAAAUGGGAGGAGGAAUUCCCCAUCAGGCAAAUAGCUGUUACAAGGGUCACUUCAUAUCACUAUCCUAUUCCACUGGAUUCAAACCAGCUAUAAGGAUCUUGUCGUAACUUCCAUCAUUCAUACAUACAUAAAGGAGAGGCAUCAAGGCAUAAUCACUUUUGGAGUAAAAUCAAGAUUGAGACAAGGGGGAGUGACAACGAAAGUAUGGGCUGUUGUUGAUGCAGCUUCUGCUGGCAUCCUUGUUGUCCUCACAGGGUGUUCUUCAAGACUUGGUUGGUUUCAACAUUUUACUAAAUUUUGUUUAGAAAACUAGUUCUGUUAAUGGAAUGACUUUGUUGGAUAUAUGGAUGAAUGUACCAGAUCUUUACAUAAAUGAAUGUGUUUUGGAUGUGA